rnacentral:rRNA from 1 species
AGUCAUACGCUCGUCUCAAAGAUUAAGCCAUGCAUGUGUAAGUAUAAAUAUUUAACUUUGAAACUGCGAAUGGCUCAUUAUAUCAGUUAUAGUUUAUUUGAUGAAAUGUACUACUUGGAUAACCGUAGUAAUUCUAGAGCUAAUACAUGAUAAAAUCCUCGACUUUGAAGAGGUGUAUUUAUUAGAAUGAAACCAAUAGACUUCGGUCUGUUUGUGAGUAAUAAUAACUAAUCGUAUCGCAUGCUUAGGUAGCGAUAUGUCUUUCAAGUUUCUGCCCUAUCAGCUUUGGAUGGUAGUGUAUUGGACUACCAUGGCAGUAACGGGUAACGAAGAAUUUGGGUUCGAUUUCGGAGAGGGAGCCUGAGAGAUGGCUACCACAUCCAAGGAAGGCAGCAGGCGCGUAAAUUACCCAAUCCUGACAUAGGGAGGUAGUGACAAUAAAUCACAAUGCGGAACUAUUAGUUUUGCAAUUGGAUUGAGAACAAUGUACAAAUGUUAUCGAUAAACAAUUGGAGGGCAAGUCUGGUGCCAGCAGCCGCGGUAAUUCCAGCUCCAAUAGCGUAUAUUAA